UCGGGAAUUUUGGGCAAUGGGCGAAAGCCUGACCCAGCAACGCCGCGUGAGGGAUGAAGUAUUUCGGUAUGUAAACCUCGAAAGAAUGGGAAGAAUAAAUGACGGUACCAUUUAUAAGCUCCGGCUAACUACGUGCCAGCAGCCGCGGUAAUACGUAGGGAGCAAGCGUUGUUCGGAUUUACUGGGCGUCAAGGGCGCGUAGGCGGCGCGGUAAGUCACUUGUGAAAUCUCUGAGCUUAACUCAGAACGGCCAAGUGAUACUGCUGUGCUAGAGUGCGGAAGAGGCGACCGGAAUUCUUGGUGUAGCGGUGAAAUGCGUAGAUAUCAAGAGGAACACCUGAGGCGAAGGCGGGUUGCUGGGCCGACACUGACGCUGAUGCGCGAAAGCCAGGGGAGCAAACG
rnacentral:rRNA from 1 species